rfam:Triticum aestivum genome assembly, contig: Triticum_aestivum_CS42_TGACv1_scaffold_249439_3DL
AUACUUACCUGGACGGGGUUUAUGGCUGAUCAAGAAGAGCCAUGGCCUAGGCUAGUGGCCCACAUUGCACUUUGUGGGAGCGCUGGCUUACCAUCUCCCCUUUGAGGGAGAAUGGACGUCAUAAUUUGUGAUAGAGGGGGUACGCGUUCGUGCGGCCCUUG